rnacentral:tRNA from 1 species
GCUGGAAUAGCUCAGUUGGUAGAGCAGUUGAUUCGUAAUCAAAAGAUCGCAGGUUCAAAUCCUGUUUCCAGCACCA